UUGGCUUAUGAGAAUACUAAUGCAGGGU
rnacentral:piRNA from 1 species